UAUAAAUCUGCGACGCAAAUGAUUGUUCCAUGCAUCAUUGAGUCAUUUGCAUCGCAGAUUUAUAAAACUGCGACGCAAAGAAUUUAAAUUUGGGUCGCAGAUUUAUAAAUGUGCGACGCACGACGCAAUGGCCCUUUUUUUUUAUUAAUUAAUAAUAUCCACUUUCCAGAACACCAACCAUCUUCUCUUUCUCUCUCAUCUUCCUCUUCACGAAACCCUCUUCAUUCUCCGCCUCUUCUCUUUCUCUCUCAUCUUCCUCUUUCCAGAACACCAACCAUCAUUCCCUUCAUUCGAAAUCUCCUCUCUAUCAACACCUCUCUAUCUUUCCUUCAUUCGAAAUCUUCUCUAACCAUCCUAACUCUAAUUCGAAAAAUAAAACCCUACCGAUGUGGAUUCCGACGGAAGCUGUUUGUUCUCGGCGGUGGAGAAGGCGGCGAUAUGGGGGUUGAGUGAAGGAGAGUGUGGUGGGGCCAAGGAGAUGAGGAGGAGAACGGUCAAGAGAUUUGAAGAGGGUUUUAGAUCGGCGGAAAAUGAGGAGAGAGAAAAGGUGGAAAUAGUGAUCAGGAAUUUGUAUACACCAGAUCCACAAAUUGGUUGGGGGAUUCAUAUUGUUCAAGAACUUAAAUGUUGGCGUUGAAGUCUGAUCGUCGGAUCUUAGAUGACGCCAUUCUUGAGCUCCUCAAUCUUGGCAUGCUUAGGCGAAUAUGCCGGAGAAAUUGAACCAGUGUAAGCUUGAUGCUCGCCGUGAACAAUGCCUUUCGCAAGAGAGCAGGUUGCGUAGGUUGUACUAUGGCUAUCAUGAAGAAUGUUUUAAGGUGUCUUUCGGAUCUUUUACCUGUUUGCUGUUGCUUUUCUGCUGAUCUACCAGUCACUUUUCCAUCUAUUUCACCACCUUAGCUGCAAUUUUCUUCGAUGGAGGUUGUAGGAGUUGAAAUUCUCUCUCUGACAGAACUAUUAGCCAUUUCUUGGACUGGAUUUGGCUGUUGAUGAAAUGACUCUGCAUCAUAUUGUAGGAUUGCAUUAAGUGCUUCUUGUACUAACUUUAUGGCUGCAGUCUGUUGCAGUCCAAGUUUCUCUGUCUUUGCAACUUGGUCAUCAACUUCCUAGAGAUUGUUGUUGUUUUUACUCAGCUCCAUAUUCAAGUUACUCAUCUCAUGGCUAUUGUUUCCAUCUCCACUUUCUUUUUCAUCUGCUUGAAUGAUAUCUUGGGCCUCAUUCGUUUAUGGUUCACUUAAACUUUUAUGUUAAAAGUGUAGUUAGGU